rnacentral:sRNA from 1 species
GAGCCGGAAAGCAUCGCGCACGACCGGGA